rnacentral:lncRNA from 1 species
CUGUCUGCCUUCCCCUUGAUUUAACAUCAUUGCCCAUGAUCUGCUUUCUUUCCAGGGCUUACAUGGGCUCCCAGGACGCACUGGCACGCCAGGAGCCAAGGGCACCAAGGGAGAAAUUGGCAGUCCUGGAAAACCAGGAAUCCCAGGAUCAGAUGGGCCAUCUGGACCAAAGGGCGAACAGGGAGCAUCAGGUGACAACGGUGCCAUGGGGAUUCCUGGGGAGAAAGGAGAAAAGGGGGCCAAGGGAGUUCCUGGCUUGGGAGGCUUCAAAGGACAAAUGGGGUGGCCUGGAAAGACUGGAGCUGCAGGACCAGAUGGACCUCAAGGGCCCCAAGGGCAAACCAGGGCCACAGGGCCCACGAGGAAGAAGAGGGAGACCUCCACUCUGCCUCAGAGGGCCCCCGGGCAUGGACGGGCAAAAAGGAGCAGCGGGUGAAAAUGGGCCGGCUGGCCAGAAAGGAGAAAAGGGAGAUCCUGGUCUUUCUGAGGAAGAGGUGAAGGAGGUGGUCAGGAGCGAGAUGAGAGGCAGAUGCGAUUGUGGAGUUGAGUUGGGAAGGACGCUCGUGGAAAGGGGUA